UUAAUCCAAAAUUUUCUACCAUAAAUUGUCAAAGGACAAUUCAAACACAACAAUAAAGUAGUCACUGAACCAUUAGUUAGGGUAUCAAUGUGAAGCUAGCGGAAAUAUACUUGAACGUAUCGCACGCUCGAACAUACAACAGAGUCGCCAUCAAACUUUAUUUAUUCCCAAAGGAAAGGGAAAACAUCGAUAAAACCCGGAGGAAAGAGAUAUGUUG
rnacentral:lncRNA from 1 species